AUAAGCAAUAAAAACAAUAAAUAUCAACACGAGCAAUUCAAUGUCCUCUAGCCUAAAAGGGCCAGAGGGCCAUAGGUUCGGAUAGCAAAAGAUCACCGUUUUCAAAGCAGAUUUUACAGGAUAAGUACCCUCUACACAUAUAGAAUAAAAAGCGUAUGAGUUUAUAGAUAAUCAUCGGCUCCUGUAAUCUUUUAAGCUUCUAACUGGAAUCCAAAACCUUGUGCAACAUUGGAAGCAGCGAAUGAGCACAAUAAUAAAGAGAAUUGUAAACUACAUGAGUACUGUGACUUGAAGUCGGUCUCUGGCUGCUGUUCGAUCUACAAAUCACAUGUUCGCUCAGCUCAAGGAAUAAAUAACACAGUCGCACUAUGUGUCAUAUGAUAAUGUUACACUUGCAGGGGUACCAGGACAUGAAGGUUUUGGUCGUUAUCAAAAAAAAUCCGAUGAAUCCACAUAGUAACAUGUAAUCUCGCUAAUCUUUUACCUCCAAGGACUUUGUUGUUCUGUCUACGUGCCAGCUUCCGGCCGUCCCCUUGGUGGAGUCCGACCAUCUGGCCAAGCAGCAAGCUUUCCGAGCU